CCUAGAAGGGAAGGAAAGAGGCGAGGAAGGAAAUGGCCCAGGGAAAAUGGUAACAUGGGUAGAGGAUUUGAUUGAGCUGUGCAGUACAGAGCCCUGGGCUGGAACCUGAAAGUGAGGUUGGGACUGGAUUCCCCCCCCAGCCCCGAGGAAGCGGUGUACAAAGGUAGCUGAGCCCAGAGAGGGGGCUGCAGUCUGAAUGUGACCUCGCUGAAGAAGGAGCUGUGGAGAGGCUGGAAGCUUUUUAUUUCUGUUAAAAUAGUUUUGAAUUUGAGUGUGGCUCGCUGACCCUGGAAGGAACAGGCUAAAGACUGUGCCCUGGCUGGAGGGGUGAGUUAUCUGCAAGAAACCACCCCAGCCCCAGAGUGAGUGUUGACAAGGACACUGUGAGGCUAUGCCUGGCCAUGAGGAAGCGCAUAGUGAGACGAACAGGUUAGAUACCAUUGGCUCGCUGACCCAGCCAUUGGCUCGCUGACCCAGCCAUACCCCAGACCAGAAUCCAUGACUGUGGUUGUAGACCCAGUUCCUGGGACCCAGCCAGAACCCAUGCAAGGAUCAGAUCCGGCAGAGCAGUCAGCAUCACAGCCUGCGCUUACAACCCCACCAGAGUCAGGAGCCAGCACCAAGGAGCUCCAUGAAGCCUGCACCUGCAGCAGCAGCUAAACCGGUGCAAGGUCAACUGGAGCCUGAAAUACCACCUAGCGCACCAGCGUAGAGCAGUUCACAGUCAAUGGAGACACCCACAUCAUCUGCAUCGCUUCGUGUGACCCAGCCAAAGUUCACAACAUAACGAGGAACUAACGUCUUAUGGAGCAGUUCCAGGUAGAGCAGGAAGCGGAUGAGAGCCUCAAGGGAGCUUGGAUGGCAGCCCAGAGUAACCUACUCACCUCUCAUCUCUUCUAAUAGGUCCAGGUGUGUUGUAGAAGGAGGACUCUUACACAAGGAGACCCUUUCUGGUGGGCACAGGGAGGACUGGCUUCCUCAGAGACAGUAGUUCCAACUAAGUAUAGGGAAAAACUCUGGAGCUUAGCCCACGAUCACCCUAGUGGCCAUGCUGGGGUGAACAGGACCAAAGACCAUUUGGGGAAGUCAUUCUGACUGGGAGGGAAUCAGCAAGGACAUUUCUACCUAUCUCUGGUGUCGUGAGGUGUGCCAGAGAGUGGUAAAGCCCAAGACUAGGUCAAGGCCCCUCUUCAGCCACUCCCCAUGAUUGAGGUUCCAUUUCAGCAUGUAGCUGUAGAUAUUCUGGGUCCUUUCUCUAAGAAGACAUCCAGAGGAAAGCUGUACAUACUGACUUUCAUGGCCACAAUGCCAGGGCUGGUGUCGGCUGUGGCCGCAAGGCCAGGGCCGGCGCCUGAACCAUCUGAACUAAGGAGUCUGCUACAACUUUGACUUAAGGGUCACGUGGCUUUCAGCUCAUACAGUCAAGGCUCUUACACUAAGAUUCAAAUGUCCAAGGUUCAAUCCUGCCCACUGAAAACUAGGGCCUGUCAGCGUUACAAGUGGGGGCUCAUCUGAGAUGUCAACUGGGAAGUUUUUGAAGCUCAGAAUGUCCUUCAACAUGUCCUCUCCCAGAAGUACACCCAUAGGUGUUUUACCUCUUCCAGGGGCCGUGUAGAUCGGGGUGGCCAACCUGUGGCUCUAGACCCAUGUGCGGCUCUUCAGAAGUUAAUAUGCGGCUCCUUGUAUAGGCACC